rnacentral:rRNA from 1 species
CCGUGUGCCCACAACAAGCCCAAGCCCCUUAAUGGGUCAUGGCGUUUCUUUCGUAGAAUCAACCGGCGAGUUACGAUUGCAUGCGAGGUUAAGUCGAAGAGACGGAGCCGCAGCGAAAGCGAGUCUGAAUAGGGCGUUUGAGUAUGUAGUCGUAGACCCGAAACCAUGUGAUCUACCCAUGUCCAGGUUGAAGGUGCGGUAAAACGCACUGGAGGACCGAACCCACGUACGUUGAAAAGUGCGGGGAUGAGGUGUGGGUAGCGGAGAAAUUCCAAACGAACUUGGAGAUAGCUGGUUCUCUCCGAAAUAGCUUUAGGGCUAGCCUCGGAUUUGAGAAUGAUGGAGGUAGAGCACUGUUUGGACUAGGGGCCCAUCUCGGGUUACCGAAUUCAGAUAAACUCCGAAUGCCAUUCAUUCAUAUCCGGGAGUCAGACUGUGAGUGAUAAGAUCCAUAGUCGAAAGGGAAACAGCCCAGACCACCAGCUAAGGUCCCAAAAUAUAUGUUAAGUGGAAAAGGAUGUGGGGUUGCACAGACAACUAGGAUGUUGGCUCAGAAGCAGCCACCAUUUAAAGAGUGCGUAAUAGCUCACUAGUCGAGUGACCCUGCGCCGAAAAUGUACCGGGGCUAAACAUAUUACCGAAGCUGUGGAGUACACCAUUAGGUGUAUUGGUAGGAGAGCGUUCUAAGGGCGUUGAAGGCAGAUCGUGAGGACUGCUGGAGCGCUUAGAAGUGAGAAUGCCGGUAUGAGUAGCGAAAGACAGGUGAGAAUCCUGUCCACCGAAUGACUAAGGUUUCCUGGGGAAGGCUCGUCCGCCCAGGGUUAGUCGGGACCUAAGCCGAGGCCGACAGGCGUAGGCGAUGGACAACAGGUUGAUAUUCCUGUACUCGUUGUUUUUGUUUGAGCAAUGGAGGGACGCAGGAGGCUAAGGAAUGCAGACGAUUGGAAAUGUCUGUCCAAGCAGUAAGUCUUGAUAGGAGUCAAAUGCUUCUGUCUACACGGAUAAGCUGUGAUGGGGAGGGAAAUAAUAGUACCGAAGUUCCUGAUGUCACACUGCCAAGAAAAGCUUCUAGUGAGAAAACAAUGACCCGUACCGCAAACCGACACAGGUAGUCGAGGAGAGAAUCCUAAGGUGAGCGAGAGAACUCUCGUUAAGGAACUCGGCAAAAUGACCCCGUAACUUCGGGAGAAGGGGUGCUGAUCUUUGAUCAGCCGCAGUGAAUAGGCCCAAGCGACUGUUUAUCAAAAACACAGGUCUCUGCAAAAUCGUAAGGUGAAGUAUAGGGGCUGACGCCUGCCCGGUGCUGGAAGGUUAAGAGGAGUGCUUAGCGUAAGCG